UCAGCCACUGAGCUUCGGUCCCUCCCCAGGAAAAACACAGGGAGCUGAUUGAUGCCAAGUCAGAAACCUUGGGUGCAUCUAGCUCAGUAGUGUCGACACAGGCCGGCAGCAGAUUUCUCACAAUGAAUAUUUGUUUGAAUAAGGAAUCUGGAAACUCCAGGACUGACCAAACAUCUCACAAUUUAAUAAGCACAUCACAAAACUGAAGCUGUGGUCAGGUGAGUCACAAGACUUCAGGGGACAUAAUAAAGUGGAAG